GCCCGCGAUGGCUCAGAUGGCAGAUGGAUAGAGCGUCUGCCAUGUAAGCUGAAGACCCGGGUUCGAGUCCCGGUCGGGGCA